GGUCCCAUGGUGUAAUGGGCAGCACUCAGGACUUUGAAUCCUGGAAUCUGAGUUUGAAUCUCAGUGGGACCU